UGGUACAACCAAUAUGGAGAACAGUAUGGAGGUACCUCAGAAAACUAAAUAUAGAACAACCAUAUGACCCAGCAAUCCCACUCUUGGGCAUAUAUCUGGACAAAACUUUCCUUGAAAUAGACACAUGCACCUGCAUGUUCACUGCAGCACUAUUCACAACAGCCAAGCCAUGGAAAACAACCUAAAUGUCCAAUGAUAGAUGAAUGGGCUAAGAAGAUGUAGUAUAUAUACCCAAUGGAAUACUACUCAGCCAUAAAAAAGAACAAAAUAAUGCCAUUUGCAGCAACAUGGUUGGAACUAGAGACUCUCACACUAAGUGAGGUAAGUCAAAAAGAUAAAGACAAAUACCAUAUGAUAUCACUUCUAUCUGGAAUCUAAUAUAUGGCACAAAUAAACGCUUCCACAGAAAAGAAACUCAUGGACUUGGAAAAGAGACUUAUGGUUACGGAGUGGGGGUGGGUAGGAUGGACUGGGAAUCUAGGAUUAGUAGAUGCAAACUAUUGUCUUUGGAAUGGAUAAGCAAUGAGAUCCUGCAGUAUAGCACUGGGAACUAUGUCUGGUCACUUGUGAUGGAGCAUGAUAAUGUGAGAAAAAGGAUGUAUAUAUGUAUGUGUGACUGGGUCACUUUGUUGUACGGUGUACAGUAGAAAGUUGACAGAACACCGUAAACCAACUGUAAUGGAAAAAACUAAAAUCAUUUAUAAAAUAUAUUUAUUAAUAACUUAACUCUACACCAGGUAUAGUUCUAGACAUAGAAUUAAUAAACACAAGAAAGGCCUCUGUCUUCACAGAGCCUACGUUCUAGAGAAAGAAGACAGACCAUCAGCAAGAAAAACAAUAAGUAGGGGUUCCCCUUGUGGUUCAGUGGUUAACGAAUCUGACUAGGAACCAUGAGGUUGCGGGUUCGAUCCCUGGCUUCGCUCAGUGGGUUAAGGAUCUGGCGUUGCUGUGAGCUGUAGUGUAGUCACAGAUGCAGCUUGGAUCCCACAUUGCUGUGGCUCUGGUGUAAGCCAGCGGCUAUAGCUCUGAUUAGACCCCUAGCCUGGGAACCUCCAUAUGUUGCAGGUAUGGCCCUAGAAAAGUCAAAAAGAUAAAAAAAAAAAAAAAAAAAAAAAGUAGAUAAAAUAGUAUGUCUGAAGGCACUAAGUCUAUGAGAAGGAAAGAAAAGAAAAAAGAACAAGGUAAGAGAAUGAUAAGCAGGGAGUUUUCAGUGCUUAACUUGAUUCCUAGCACAUAUACAGGACUGUAAAAAUCCUUGUUCUCUUCAAUGACCCUUUAAGACACUCAGGUCACUAUCUCCCCAAGCCCAGACAGACUCAGAAGGCAGGCCCCCUCAGGAACACCAUCCUAGUUCUCCCUGCCCGUCAGUCUCCUUGCAAUUUAAAGACCACUUUCCACCCAUGGAUGUGUGAACAUGCAUGCAUCCCUUUGUGAUUCUGAAUGACCUUCAAGAUCACUGAUCCCAUAUACACCCACACUCAGGCUCCAGCCUCCUUUGGUAGGGUCCUGAAGGACUGGGGCUCUGGGUGUCCCCUCAAGCCUCUUAUCUGUUUAUGGACCCACGUGAGGAUUUGUAUACUUUCUCUGUGACCAAGGGUGACCCUCAGGCACUUCACUUUCCCACAGCCCGAAUCCUUGUAUAUCCCCCUUCCAUGGCACUGCCUGAUACUAAAGUAACACUCCUCCUACUUACACCUGCCUCCUCAGAGUCAGAGCCCCUCUCCCCAAAACCAUGCCGCUUAACGGAAACGUCCCCCAGGAUGUUGGACACCCCUCCACGACGCAGCCUACCCCUACCAUCAGCCCCCAUCACAGGUCCCCCUCAGGAGGGGAGUCCUGUUAUCUUCUCUGGGGUCUCAGCCGUUUCUGGGCCACUGCUCUCUCAAAAGUGUGCACACUCUCUCAUACUACACCGCUGCCACGCCAGGACUCCGGCGUCCCUGCCCGCCACUCUGAGGGGUACACGCCUCCCUUAACCUCUGACCCCGAGGUCACAGCCCCAGCUCGCAAACACACAGGACGCCUCCUCGGGAGUAGCUCCUCCUCGGGAGUAGCUCCUCCUCUGGAGUAGCGCCCUGCCCCAGUCCGCUGUCCCCUCAGGCCCAGGGCAGCCUAGCCGCCUCAGCGCUGCCCCUGAGGACCGCCCCCACAGACCUGCCUCAGGCGCCGUCUGGCUCCGCUCCGCCAUUUUUUUUGUUGUCCCUCCGCCUCUGAACCCACGCGAAAAUCCCCGGCAGUGGGGAGCGGCCGAUGGGAUCUGCCGGCUGACAGAAGCUCCCUCAGGAAGACGCGGUGCGACGGUUGCCAAGGCAACGGGCGACGGGCGUGCAGAAGGCCCGCGCGUGGC
rnacentral:lncRNA from 1 species